UGGGGAAUAUUGGACAAUGGACCGAGAGUCUGAUCCAGCAAUUCUGUGUGCACGAUGAAGUUUUUCGGAAUGUAAAGUGCUUUCAGUUGGGAAGAAAUAAAUGACGGUACCAACAGAAGAAGUGACGGCUAAAUACGUGCCAGCAGCCGCGGUAAUACGUAUGUCACGAGCGUUAUCCGGAUUUAUUGGGCGCAAAGCGCGUCUAGGUGGUUAUGUAAGUCUGAUGUGAAAAUGCAGGGCUCAACUCUGUAUUGCGUUGGAAACUGUGUAACUAGAGUACUGGAGAGGUAAGCGGAACUACAAGUGUAGAGGUGAAAUUCGUAGAUAUUUGUAGGAAUGCCGAUGGGGAAGCCAGCUUACUGGACAGAUACUGACGCUAAAGCGCGAAAGCGUGGGUAGCAAACAGGAUUAGAUACCCUGGUAGUCCACGCUGUAAACGAUGAUUACUAGGUGUUGGGGGUCGAACCUCAGCGCCCAAGCAAACGCGAUAAGUAAUCCGCCUGGGGAGUACGUACGCAAGUAUG
rnacentral:rRNA from 1 species